UUGUUCCUUAUCCUUGGGAUC
rnacentral:misc_RNA from 1 species